UACGGAGGGUGCAAGCGUUGUUCGGAAUCAUUGGGCGUAAAGCGCGUGUAGGUGGUCUGGCAAGUCCCAUGUGAAAUCCCUUGGCUUAACUGAGGAAGUGCAUGGGAUACUACCAGGCUAGAGUACGGUAGAGGGAAGUGGAAUUCCUAGUGUAGAGGUGAAAUUCGUAGAUAUUAGGAGGAACACCUGUGGCGAAAGCGGCUUCCUGGGCCGACACUGACACUGAGACGCGAAAGCGUGGGUAG
rnacentral:rRNA from 1 species